GUUCCUGUAGGGCAAUGGGUAGCGCGUUGGACUUGCAAUCCAAAAGUCGUGGGUUUGAAUCCCACCUGGGAUG
rnacentral:tRNA from 1 species